rnacentral:rRNA from 1 species
GCCCUUAGAGUUUGAUCCUGGCUCAGAUUGAACGCUGGCGGCGUGCUUUACACAUGCAAGUCGAACGGCAGCAUUACCUUCGGGUAGAUGGCGAGUGGCGAACGGGUGAGUAAUACAUCGGAACGUACCUAUUAGUGGGGGAUAACUAGUUGAAAGAUUAGCUAAUACCGCAUAAUCUCUGAGGAGGAAAGCUGGGGACUCGCAAGGGCCUGGCGCUGAUAGAGCGGCCGAUGGUCGAUUAGCUAGUUGGCGGGGUAAGAGCCCACCAAGGCGAUGAUCGAUAGCUGUUCUGAGAGGAAGAUCAGCCACACUGGAACUGAGACACGGUCCAGACUCCUACGGGAGGCAGCAGUGGGGAAUUUUGGACAAUGGGGGCAACCCUGAUCCAGCAACGCCGCGUGAAUGAAGAAGGCCUUAGGGUUGUAAAGUUCUUUUAUCUGAGAGCAAAGACGACGUGUUAAUAGCAUGUUGGGAUGAGAGUAUCAGAGGAAUAAGCACCGGCUAACUACGUGCCAGCAGCCGCGGUAAUACGUAGGGUGCAAGCGUUAAUCGGAAUUACUGGGCGUAAAGCGUGCGCAGGCGGAUAUGUAAGUUAGAUGUGAAAUACCCGAGCUCAACUUGGGAAUGGCAUUUAAGACUGCAUGUCUAGAGUUUGUCAGAGGGGGGUAGAAUUCCAAGUGUAGCAGUGAAAUGCGUAGAGAUUUGGAGGAAUACCGGUGGCGAAGGCGGCCCCCUGGGAUAGAACUGACGCUCAUGCACGAAAGCGUGGGUAGCAAACAGGAUUAGAUACCCUGGUAGUCCACGCCCUAAACGAUGUCUACUUGCUGUUGGGUGUAAAAGCUUAGUAGCGAAGCUAACGCGAGAAGUAGACCGCCUGGGGAGUACGGUCGCAAGAUUAAAACUCAAAUGAAUUGACGGGGAAGGGC